rfam:Selaginella moellendorffii unplaced genomic scaffold SELMOscaffold_47, whole genome shotgun sequence.
GUUGCGGGGAGUGCUGCCUGGCUCGAGACAGCAUCGCCGAGAUCUGAUCAAAUCGCAAAGUUGAGAAACAAGCAUCACAGUUUGAUCUGGAGAUCGUGUUGUGUCGGACCAGGCUUCAUUCCCCUCAGC